rnacentral:rRNA from 1 species
GAUGAACGCUAGCGGCAGGCCUAAUACAUGCAAGCCGAACGGCAAGAUUGAUAGCAAUAUUGAUCCUAGAGUGGCGUAAGGGUGCGUAACACGUAUGCAAUCUACCCUCAACAGGAGGAUAGCUCCCCGAAAGGGGAAUUAAGACUCCAUAAGAUCAUUUGGUGGCAUCAUUGAAUGAUUAAACUUCCAGGGGCUGAGGAUGAGCAUGCGCCUGAUUAGUUAGUUGGCGGGGUAAGGCCCACCAAGACGAUGAUCAGGUAGGGGAACUGAGAGGUUGA